AGCCCUGUACAGGCGGGUUUAGCCCCGUUCUUAUCAA
rnacentral:tRNA from 1 species